rnacentral:tmRNA from 1 species
GGGGGCGACCUGGCUUCGACGGGGGUUGCAACACCGCUUGGUGCAUGCCGAGGUCGUCACUCACCUCGUAAAGCAAGUGACAACACUUUAGUUGCCAACGACGACAACUACGCACUGGCCGCUUAAGGCCUAAGCCCCUGACCCACUCGUGCCUGUGCCUGUGGAGUCGGGGUCACUGUCACAGGACCGCCCGGGGCUGCCGCCUGUCGGCACCGGGUUAAACAAAGCAGGCUGGUCCGACGGUGCGCUUGGCGUGCUGUGUUGCCGGCGGAUGAGAUCAAACAGCACGACAAGCAUGUAGUACCGAGGGUCGAGCGCUUUCGGACGCGGGUUCGAUUCCCGCCGCCUCCACCA